UUGACACAGCAGUCAUGAACACUGCAGAGGGUCAUUUCUGAAUUCUUGUCUUCUGUUGAAGUCUUGAUUCUAAAUCUUCUCUACUCUUAAUAACAAAGAGUUAUUUCUUGUUUUUGUUUAUUUUUCUACGAAUAAGACUUUAAAAUUUUUCUUUUAAGAUAUGUGUACAUAUGUGCUUAAAACAGUCGUUUCAUUUUUUGCUAUUUAAUAAUGUUUGUAUUCAUUAUUACAUGUGCAAGACAGUUUAUGAGAAUCCUAGAGUAAAAGAAACACUGAUGCUGAGUAUGGUGUGUGUGCCAGCAAUCCCAGUACUUAGGAGGAAGAGGCAUAGGAGUUCAGGUUUGAGGUUAGUCUAGGCUACAUAGUGAGGCCCUGUCUCAAGAAGAGAAUGCAGAGAGAGAAAUAUCGAUCAUAACAGAAAUGAGUAAAGGACAACUGUGUCUUACUGAGCACUGACUGAGUAAAAGUGUGAGUGACAGUAACCUCUGCAACCCUUUCCGCGGAGUAAUUAGCAGCAAGCCUGCUGAAGCUCUGGUUCAGAGAAGGCCGGAAAGAAACACUGGGUAGCUUACUCUGUGUUGAAGCAAACUUGGGGAUUUCACCUAUGCCUUCAGAAUGAAUGGAGGAAGAAAAGAAUAAUACAGAAAAAGGAGUAAUGUAUAAAAAUAUUUAAGUUCAAAGACAUCAGGAUGAAAAGAAAACAAGUCCAAAUUAUGACAUUAGCAUCCGUUCUCGUGUAUGAGUUUCCACACUCUAGAGUGGUGUGAAGGACUGUAAAGAUUGUUCAGCGAAUGCUUCAGCAAGGUGUCAGAUGCACCAGUAUUAACAUUAGAAGCAGAAUUUAAAGGAAAAAAGAAAGAUAAAUGUGCAUAAGCCCCAAAUAGAUAACCUAAGAAGCCUUCUGAAUUAUGAACUUUCAUCUGCCCACUGUUAUAAUGUUGAUAUAUAAAGCAACAUUGGUGACUUAAAGGUUAAGUUUGACAAAUUCAUGAUCAUGGUCAAAGAUGCUAAACGAUAAUGUCAGAGACAUGCAAAUUAUUUAGACAAAAUGGGAAACGGUAUAGAAGUCAGAAAAUCGAUAAACAAGCUUGAUUUACAUUUAAGUAUUCUCUGUGAUAUUUGCAUUUACAUGAUGUAUACAAAUUAAUGAAUUCAGUAUUCAUUUUAAGAUGCUAGAACAUGCCAAGUUGUUCUAAACAAAAUGAUGGAAGGGAGAUGGAUAUACAAUUCUGGGUAUCAAGUCUUUGCAGAAGAACUGAGUCACUAGAACAGCAAAAUGACUCCCCUUUGCCUUAGCAGCCUGCUCUAGCAGGAGAGCUGGCCCUGCCCCUCAGCGGCUGCAGCAUUGAGGAGAGCUGCUCUGCACCUGGCCUGGGCAGCACAGUAGAGCCGAUGUUGGUAGCAGGGGCACAGAUGAGCUGGUCCUACCACUUGUCUGCUAUGGGCUGGCAUCAAUGAGGGAGAGAUGCUCUUGCUGCCUCUCCUUUUACUAUCUGCAGCAGGCAGGAGAGCUGACCUAGAAGGUCAUGAGAGCUGGAGAGCUGCCCUACCCCUCAGCAGCUCUAGUACUCAGUUGGAAGUGGGCCCUGCAUCUCACCUGGGCAGCACAGUAGAGCUGGCCCUGAUGUGGAAGGUGCAGGUGAACUGGCCCCAAGGGUAUGAGAGUGGGAGAGCUGGCCCCUCCUCUUGCUGGCAGCAGCAUCAGAGGAGCUAGCCUGGGGAGUGCUGGAGAACUAGCCUUGGUGGUGUGUACAUAGGAGAGCUGGUAGGCUGAAUAAUUCAGCUACCAUCCAAGCCCAGAUCAAGUGCUUUAAGCUAGUCCACCACAACAUCUAUCUUAUCUAUGACCUGCUGGAGCAGGUAAAAGGGCUAGUAAUGCAGGUCCAAAACUGUAGGAUCUCAAUGACACAGAACAACAACAGGCUUUCUGAGAGGAGUCCCAGUGAGGGUCCAGCAUUGAUAGUGGAGCAGAAAGAAGACCAUGUCCUGGAAACAGACCAAUUACUUAUUGCAGUGAACAUUUGCAAAUAGAACUAUGUGGACAAAAGGGUAUUCUGUCUGACACACAGUGACAUGCUAUAGCUUCUUCCACACUUUUUUUUUUUCCUAUCAAAUUUUCUUUUGGAGGGGAGCUUACAAGGACAGAGAAUGGAUACUAAGGGACAAGAUGAAUGUAAUUGGGGUACAUGAUGUCAAAUUCACAAAGAAUCAAUAAAAGUUAAAAAUAAAUAAAUAUAUAAACCCAAAAGGUAAACCCCAAACAAUCCAGCCAUAACUAGGUGACAGGGCUCCCUUAAGAGCAUCCCUGUGUAGGAACCUACUCCUGACACCUUGAAGUUCAAUCCCCAGGACCUGUCACACUAGCUGUGAUGGUUUGUAUUUUCUUGGUCCAGGUAGCUCAGGGCUUCCAGAGUCUUUAAGGUGCUUGGAAAUGUGAAUACUAACGAAACACCUGAAAAGAAUGUGUUUCUUUUUUUUUAUUCUUAAAAUGUGAUGGGAAAAUAAACUUUUUAAAGUCUUUGUUUUAGAAAUACAUAUUGAAGUACCAGCAUGAUAAAUACAGGACUUGGGAUUGUGUUCAUAAUAAUAGUUGCUUUGGCAUUUUUAUGGUGGGUGUAAGGUGGUGGGCUUUGAAUUAUAAUUGGGUAUUGUGUGCAUGCAGUCAUCUUUUUUUGUGUUUACAUGUUUUUGAGAUUCAUCGACUACAAAACUAAAACACAGCAAACAUUGAGACCAGUCAGUCAAGGACAUUGGUUCAGCAUAUUCUGUCAUGUGGCUCCUGCUCUCAUGAGACAGAAGCUGCCAAUUCCUUUUAAAAGGCAGGAUACAUUAAAGAAAAGAGUAUAAAUGGCGCACAAUAGAAAUCUGAAAGGCAUCAAAUCUGGAAUUGAGAGCUUCUCCAUUUUUCAUGUGAUUUAGCACAUAAGUUCUUACCUAAUUGUAAAAGACUUGUGUAGUUUGUUUCAUAGAAGAGAAACCUUGACAUUCAUCAGACUCAUUUUAUGAAGUUAUACCUGUUUAUAUUCGUGCUAAAUAAAAAAGGAAACUUUGAACAUUUCACCUCCUUGGGUAUCAGUUCUUCUGUUUUAAUGAAUAGGCAAAUAUUUAUUAAAUGAAACAUUUAUAAGUUUAAUUCAAUAUUGUAUCCCAUUCCAUUAACUCAUAAAAAGAGAACAAAGCAUGUGACUAUCUCAAUAGAUGUAGAAAAUAAUUUGAAAUUUAAUUAUUUGAUAGCAUUAAAAAUACAUUUAAUGACAUUAAUGACACAUGGUAAAAACUUUAGCAAACUAAGAAUAGAAAGGAACUUCCUGAACUUUGCAAAUGAUGUCUGUCAGGCACUUGCAGCAUCUGUUAUGACUAAUGAUGAAUCAUUAUCUAUCUAAAUCCGCCACCAUUGCCAGUCACCUGCUCCUCUGCUUCUGCUCAUUAGUGAAGUAGAAAUUUUCCCCUCAUAGGGUAAAACAGAGGACCUUAAGCCCUGGUUCAAUCCUUAGCACCACCAAGAACAGAAAGAAAGAGAGCCUGAAGGCUGGAGAGGUGGCUCAGUGGUUAAGAGUGGGAACUGUUCGUGCAGAGGAUCUGUGUUCAGUUCAUAUCGUCCAUGUCAGACAACUUACCAUGCCCUGUAACUCCACCUCCACGGCGAUCCAAUGCUUCUAGCUUAUUUCAGCAUUCGUACUUACAUUCAUAUACCCAUACACAGAUCCACCUAUCCAAAUAAUAAACGCAAAUCAAUUUUAAAAAUCUUAGAAGGAUACAAACACUAGAUAACAGAAACUAAAGCUAUUUUCUUUGCAUAUGACAAAAUUAUACACAUCAAAAAUUUAAUAGAAUAUCCAGACUUAUUUGGAGUAGAAAGAGAAUUCAUUCAGCAAGGGUAUUAAGUGCAAGGAAAAUGUGGAAACAUUACAUUUCUUCUCAUAAGCAGUAACCAAAUAGCAAACCAUAAGGAUUCCAUGCACAGUACCAGUUAGAACCUUGAAGUCCUCCAUAUAAAUUCUGUAUAAGCUACACAAGAUAGUUAUGGAUAAAGUGAUUAAAGGCCAUUCAGGAUAUGAUAAAAGGAGAAAAGAUGGACGUGCUAUAUGUAUGUAUUUUUAGAAGUAAGAAAACAGUGUCAUCAUAAUGGUGAUUUACAUCUGACAGUGUCUCCUGGUAUUGGAAAACUUGAAUGACUGGUCAUAAAACUCAUGUUCCAGAGUUACGUAUAAAGGACUUGCCUUACUAGAUGUUAAGACAUACAAUUUAUGGUUGUAAAGAUGAUUUUAGCAGUGGCAGAAAGUUAGUAAAAUGCAGAAUUUUGAAAUAAUUGUGCUUGCAUAUAUAAAUCUACCAAAUAGGAAUGGAAUUGCAGAAGCAGGAAGAUAAUAAAUUCUCUCUUAAUUGUUCUGAGACAGUUAUCUGUGAGACAAUUCCUCAGUCCCUCAGUGGAUGCAUAAUUCAUUCCUGGAUGACUUAAUCCUUUGUGAAAUGAAAGUCUUUAAAAACUGUGGAAGAAAAUCUAGGAGGUCAUUCCUCCCUUGGUGCAAUAUAAUAGCUGAAUUGUGAGAUUCUUUGAGGAAAAAAGAGGAAAUUUGAGGAAAUUCUUUGAUUACAGCUGGUGAUAAAAAGUGUGUGUGAUUGAAGCUUUUGAUAAAAGCCUUCAUAUGUUGCCAUUUAAGGACAUACUAGAUUGAAGAGAGACAAAGAUAAGGCCUGUUUGGGUGAAAUUCUUGCAUUUAUUAAAACACCAAUGGUCUUGACCACAGUAAAGCGUUUCAGCAGUGGGAAAUGCGCACACACCCCUAGUGCACGUGACUGCGGGCCUUGGGUCUGUAAGUCUGAAAGUAAAAACCUGCACUGAGCUCCUACCCUCAAGCUCACAUUCUUGAGGGAGUCUCAUCUACCAGGAAGUAGACACUAAAUCUUUUUAUUUUAAUAAAAGUAUUAGAAUUGGUUGAAAUAUAGAACAAUCCCAAUUUCUACCAAGAACAGUAGCAGUAAAUUAAAUUGACUUUAAUGUAUUUUUUGGUUGUCUGCAAGAUCAUAGAACUGUAGAAAUAAACACAACUCUGUAAGUGUAGUGAACAGGAGACGCAAUAUUGAGUUGGAAGUAAAAGUAAGUUUCAGACGUCUCAGCAGUGUGAUUCCAUUUGUGUAAAUUUGAAAAAGUGAGUAUGCUUAUCCAGUAUAUUCUACAAGGGGCCAGGUAUAUAUCGAGAAGUUGCAAAGCAAAAUGAGAGAAUAGUAAACAACAAAAAAAUAUUUUUGAUCUGAAGAAUGAACCAAUACUAUCCACCUUUGGUGCAAGGGCUUUCCAAAGUUCCUAGGGUUAAUGUUCUUUCUAAAAGUGAGUGUGAAUGGUAAGCACACACACAAGGGCUUUCCUUCUUUAAACAUGAUGCAUCUACAUACUUUGAAGUUUACUAUGCUUUAAAAAGUCAAAGUAAAGGGUGGAUAUCAUCAAGACCUUUUGAUAGAAGAGCAUCAUACAUGAUUGACCAGUGAGCACGGAUCGGCUUCAUUAGGAAAUGUGCAUGUAGAAAAGCAGGUCGGCACAUUUAAUGAUCCCGGAGAUUGCCAGUGUUGAGUGACAUCGGAAGAGUCUCAGCAUUUUAGAAGCAAGUGCGGUUCCCACCACUCCACAGAGCAGUUUGGUCAUUUUCUAUGAAAAUAACAAUUUUAUGUUUUGUUUGACCUUUUUUUUGUUAAAAGUUAAAGACUCAAAUUUCCAACAAGAGGGGAAGUCAUAAACAAAAUGGGCCUUAUUUGUAAAAUAAACUGGGUGCGUAUUUCCUCGGUGGUGAGGCUUUAAUACUGAUGUUGUCUUGAAGGAUUCCAGUAACUGGAGCUGUACUAAACUGCUAUCUGUUUUAUAGCUAUUCAUAAUAUGCCCAGCAGUUCAUGCUGUUACAACUUUUGUAUUCUUUGCCUUAUCCUAUACAGACACAAAUUUCAAAUUAAAUAAUUAGGUGAUGAAAGUGUGAAAAAAAAUCCGUGGACACACUAAACACAAAAUGAGAGUCAGGGCAGUGACAGCCACUGAGGAGGAAAGGGGGAAUGGAAGAGAUAAGUGUUACAGUGUUUGCACACUGGGCAGAAUAUUAUGAUUUCUAGGAUAUUAGGAGAAUUUAGAGAUGAAAAAAAAAGCAAGACAACAACAAAAGACUGUGUGAACCACUAUUCUGUAUAUUUAAAACUAUUUUGUAAAAAAUGGCAAAUUUUGUAUAUUAGACAGACCCACUGGAGAGCCUGUCAUAUAAAUAUGUGUCAAUGUAGUUUGGUUAUAAAUAUUAGUAAAAAAUGCAUACAUUGAACAGUGCUCAAAACUCUCCUGUUUCCAAGGGGGGUUGAAGGUGCUCUACGGAGCCAGGGUUAUCUGUUGCCUGCACUGAUGGUCUAUGGUGAGGAGCUGUGGAGGAGACUGACAUCCUACAGUGUGUGUGUGUGUGUGUGUGUGUCACUUAGUGCCCAGUCUGCAUUUCCUGUGUAUGUCUGCAUCCCCUGCAUUGUCGGAGGCAGGCGUAUGCAGGUUUUUGUCCAUGCAUGCACACAUGUAGUCAUCAUAUGCAAAUUUUAUCCCUUUUGAUGAGACAUUCCACUCUGACUCAGUUAGUUUAAAAAACCACAUUCAGUGCACAGUUUACAAUUACUGUACGCAAUAAUGUGUGCAUCUGUUUUAUUUCUCAUCUUCCUGGUUAGUCCAAGGCAGCAUUGGUCUUUGAGGAUGCUGAAACCACAACAGCAGUGUGGCAAGUUUGAUAAAAUUAGUUGUCUUUGAUACUGUCUUGAGGGUUGGGUUACUUCUUUUAUGAAAUGUUAGAAAUAGGAUUUUAAAUCCAUGCCUUCACCUGACAGAUAAAGUGUUGUUUAUUUAUCAAGAUUUGCUUACCUCUGUGCUUAGAAUGUUUUUGAAAUUUUUCUUUACUGUAAAGUAUAAAUCUUCAGGUCUUAAUAGAUAAAGAUUCAAUUUAGGAACAAGCAAUAAACACUUUAACAUAAGUAUAUAACUCAUGAAUAUUGAUGUAAAAACAAAUUUUCCCAUAGAAGGGAUAUGUGAAGGUAUAGUAAGAAAGAUUUGAUGUAAUUUUGAUCAGAGCACAUUUAUUGAAGUGGCAAUCAGUAUGUCUGUGUUCAAGUUCAUGUACCGCGUCCACCUUUUAUAAAGUGAUCAUGGUCAUUAACCAUUUCUAUAGGUCAGUGUAGAGGGUGUUCUUUCUUCGGCUGGAUCCCUUCCUUGGCUGUCAUGUUUUCAAAUGGAGUGGGUACCAUUCAUUUGAAGCAUAUUGGAGUGCAUAUCCUUUAUAUAAACAGUUCUCUGGUUCCUUGUAGGAAGUCACUGCCAGUCAUUAUUAGAGAGUUUUUCUUUUCUACCUUUGGUAACUUGCCUUCUUCCAGAUGGUUCAUUAGAACCCUCCUAUUGGGCUUCUCUCUCUGAGCUUCCCCACUGCAGCACUUUCUGUGAGACAAAGGUACUCUCUUUAUUUCUGCUUUCAGCCCCAAAUCACUUUCUGUCUUUCAGUGAAUGAUGGUUAUUUAUUCUCUACUGUGUGGUUAUUGGGUUUCCUUAAUAGCCUCAUGUGGAGGAGUUUUAUUGAGGGCAUUUUAAUUUCGCCUUGAUAGAUUACAGUGGCCACAUUUCUCUAAUCUCUUAUUUAAAAAUCUUUUAGGCAGGACUCUUGUCAAAGACACACUUACUAAAACCAGCUUGUCUUUAAUUUUUCAUCUGUUUACCCAGAUGUGUACUUAGGUUUUUCUCUGAAAGUGAAAUUACUGGUCACAGGAAUCCAUAGCUCAUGUAAUUUGGGUAAUACCCCUCUAUUGGAAGAUACAGAAGGAUUUGGAGGCAUAUUUGAUUUGACCAGUCUUUUUCUUUGGCAUAGGGAUUUUUCAGAUAAUGCAGUUUUGAUUGCAGCAAGAGAAACUUGGUAGCCCCAUAGCCUGAGACUCAUGCAGCCUUUUAUAUAUAAACUCAUGUAGCUCACUGUUGCAUUGUGCAACUUACUAUCUUGAAAAAUCCCUUUGUUUAUCCCUGGUGUCCACCCAGAUUAGUAGGUUUCUUGAGGGUGCCAGACUAUCUUCUUUGUGACCCUUCUGCUGACUAGAAUCCUGAACAGAGAGGCAGUUAGUACCUGUUGCUUUUGGGUGUCUCCUUCACUCAAGACUGCCAAAUUGAACUGCAAAAGAUAGCUACCACAUUUAAAUACAUGGUGAUACAUGUGUCUGUUUUUCCAGCCAGACAUUCUUAGAGCUAUUUCUCCUUCCAGAGGAGCAAGGGUAGCAGGGCCCAACCAUGAGAAAGAAAUCAUACCACAAAUCACGUAACAGAUUAAUCAGGGAAGGGAUACAAUUGAGGAUUUGAUGAAAAUAUCCCUUCUAGCAAAGGCUGUUUAAGGGAGCAUUGCCUGCAAAAAUACUGUUAUGCAAAUGAAUAGAGAGGGACUGAAGGAAGGUCCCAGGGGACUUCCACAAGAAACCCCUGCAGAAUCAGCUAACCUGGCCUUACAGGGUCCCACGGAGACCGAAAUGACAACCAGGGAGCCUGCCUGGGACUGCACUAGACUGCAUAAGUUUUACAGUUGUGUAGCCUUGUCUUUCUGUGGAACUUCAAACAGUGGGAAUAGGGCCAUUCUCUAACUCUUUUGCCUGCUUUUGGGACUCUUUUCCUCCUAGUGGGUUGUCCCGUCCAGCGUUAAUAGGAGGAGAAAUGCCUAGUCUUACUGAAAUUUGAUAUACCAUGUUUGGAUGAUGUCGAUGGGAGGACUGCCUUUUUCUGAAGAGAAAGAGGAGGAGUGGAUGUAAGGCUGGCAGAGAGGAGGAGGAGGGAGGAGGAGGAGGGAGGAGAAGGAGGGAAGAAAAAAUUCUUUCCUUUGUGAUGUCUCUCCGGCAGUUUCUGCUGACCACCUCACUUAUUGUCAGUUGGCAGAAAGAAAAUGUUUCAAGGGCCCACAGACUGUCUCCGAGCAGACAAAGAAGGAUUACUGAUGUUGAAGGCGCAAUACAGCAAUAACUGGCAAAGUGGGUGUGCUCCCUUCCAUAAUGUUUAGACACGUUUUGGGACACAGGAUGUUAUUCAUCCAAUAAAUGGGUUGAUAUGGAAAAGUCAUACCUAGAGACACAAAGGAAUUUGUUGUGAAUACUGACUUAAAGUUCCUGCAUGUAAUUAGUGUGUGGGCUUCCUCAAUACCACUUCUUAGUAAGUGGAAUGACAGUAGACCAGAGGAUGCAUUGUUCCACUUCACUGGGUUUUUCGACAUAGAAUAUACUGCUUUGGCAGUAGCGCUACAAAUGAUUAUUGAACUCUGGUGCCCAAAAUAUCGCUUUAAAAUCAGAUAGUUAGAUAUUGAUUUUGUCAUAUGUUCAUACAGACUAUAUGAUUUAUCAAGCAGUCUACAACAAAUUCAUCCACAGUGAAUCAUCUUUACUAAUGCUGAUUUAUUAUUGAAAGGCUCCAUCAGUGAUUGGAAUGUACAGCUGACACAGAGCACCAUCAAUGAUCUGCUGCUAUUUUCUUUCAGAAGGAUUGUGGGGAUUCCAGCUUUCCAGAUGUUUCUAAAAGUUUGGAAAUUUGUCAGUGUUAGUCAUGGUUAAUAGUAGUGUUCUCUCGAGCCGCAGAACCCAUAGGAACCCAGCUGUCAUUCUUCAGGGUCCCUUCCUCUAGUCCUCUUUUGUUUUGUUUGUAUAAUCUUUGUUUUAUUGAAUAUGUUCUGAUUACACUUCCCUCUCCCAACUUCUCCCAGGUCUUUACCAAUUCCCCACCCACCCAAAUCUACACCCUAUCUUUCUUUCAUUAGAAUGCAAAUAUGGAUCAAAAAAUAUAAAUAAGAUAAAAUAAAAACAAAGCAGACUGAGACAAAGCAAACAGGGUUUGGACAUGCCUGGAUUCCACUCUUGCUCUAGGCCUGCUCUGCAUGGCUCCAGCGCCCCACAGCUCCAUGGUCCCACAGGUUUGGACAUGCCUGGACCCCACUCUUGCUCUAGGCCUGCUCUGCAUGGCUCCAGCACCCCACAGCUCCAUGGUCCCACAGAUGACUUUGGCUCAUUUGAUUAACUACUCUAAACUUCAGUUUCCUUCAGAUGAGGAUAAUAACCAGAGGUGGAGACAGUGUCUGGAAGGCUAGCUGAUGGCUGGAAGGAACUUAAUACAUGGUUGUGACCCUUAUCCUUCCCCUCACCUUAACAGUUAGUGUUUGCUUUUUCUGUGCUGAUCAUGCAUAGAGCUGCCUGAAUAUUGUCAAUGUUCCUCAGGUAUCUGGUCCUUCUUAUUUCUGAUGUUUUUGUUAUUCUAAAAUAGUCAUUUGUAUAUUUUUUAUUCCUGAUAAGUCCUGUGGUUCAGGAACUCCUGGUGGUCCUGCACUGACCAAUCAUCGAGGAUAGCCUUAGACCAUGCCAAGGGAACAGCAUGGAGUAAUGUUUGAUGACCCUGCCUCGCUGAGAAUUUUUGUUGACACUGGCAUGUCAAGAACAUAUCUUUGAUUUACUUAGCCAGGUAUCUGACUAUUUAAAUUGAAUUUUAUAUUAUACAUGGUGGGAGAUUUGGGCAGAUCAUGUGGGUUUGGAAAUGAGUGUCAUUUUCAAUGAAGGAUAAUUACUCUCUGAAGAAGCUGAGGCUGAACCUAGAAGAGUGUGUCCAGUGGAAGGCGGGUACCUCAUCUGGAACAGUGCCCCGACAAGCACUGUUUGCUUCAGCUGUGUGGCAGUCAUUGUUUCUCAGCUACAGUGUCUUAAUAUUCAGCCUAUUUCAGAUCUCUUCCCCUUACCCCACUGGCACAAAGUCUUAUUACAGGGUGAGGAAAUAAGAUAGCAGCAGGGAAAGAAGGAAGUCUCUUUUGUAAUACACGGUUUCAGUGAAUUCUCUCCCCUGUGCUGAUCGCUGUAAUUUGAUUAAUUGGCAUGUGGUGCAUUACAGAAAAUCCAAGGAAAGACAAAGCUGGUUCGAUAUCAAUUAACUGAAGCAAGAAUGGACUUCCCACAGAGACCCAAGGACAGAGCAGUGUUUAACUGGCCCUUUCAAACACAAGUCUUCCCCAAUGAGAAGCAGACGAUCCCAGUUAUUUAAAGAAAUUAAAAACUGUGCAAAUUAGCAGCUCGAAUCCACUUAGAUGAGUCUGCUAUCUCUUUAAUAUAAGAGUCCCAAUCCUUUCUCCAAAGUGACUUGAAUACUUAAUAUUUGCUGAAAUGCUUUGGUUGGAUUUACUAAUAUAAUUGAAUUUUCUUGCUGCAUUCAUGGGCUGUGCAGGUCUGGGAGCUCUGGGGGUGAGACAAAUGCAUCCACGUGCAUGUGGGUCUGCUUUGAGGGGAUUCUUACCCAUUUCCUUCUGGUCCAAGGAUCAAUAGUGGGGAGUUAAGUUAUUCUUUAUAUGAGUUAAGUUAACUGGAGUUAAGUUAUUCUUUAUAUGACUGUCCUGUCUACUUAUUUAUCUAUAAUAGGCUUUGUUGAGGUGACAUAUAUGAACUGAGAUCUUGACCUUGUUCAUAGCCUUAUGAAUGAUAAACAGCUAUCGGCUGUAUAUCAUGCAAUUAGCAUGGUGACAAAGAUGAACCACACUUGGAAAUGAGAAAUCACUUCUGAUAUGGGGGAAAAAUAAAGGUUUUUUUGAAGAAUAUUAAACAAAAUAUUAUGGCUGCAGAAAAGAAGUCUUAUAUUUCAGAUAUUAAGAGUAACAUUUGACAGCAUUAAAAUAUGACAAUUGUGACACAUCCCUAGAGCAUAUAUCAUGUGUGCCUGGCACAUGGAGAGGUGCUAGUGAUGAAGGUAAAGGGGGAGGCAUGAGCAAUUUCAUGAAAGAGUUCCUGUGUAACUUUCCAGACAUCUGAAUUUCUGGUUACAAAGGGAAUGUAGAGCUCUUCUAGAAUGUUGAAGACUGAGAAUGAUGCAAUCGAUUGGACACUUGAGUAGUAAGCCGAGUACAGCACUCCCAUGUACAGGGACGCUAAAAAGACAUUAGGAAAUGGUUGCAUCCCGAGUGACUGGUAGAGUGCGAGCCUGGCCAAGGAGCUGGCAAGGGGGUAGGCACAAAGGCACUUGUAGGUGGAAGAAUUGACUGGAUUUCAUUCAGUGGGCAGGGAGGGAAAGUAAGAGCCCUGGCAUUGUUUUCUUGGUUCAUUUUCAGAGUUAAGGAUUACAAGAGAAUUAUGUUUUCUGAUGGGAACAGGAAAAACAAUUGAGCCUGGGUUAUGUUUAGUUGGAGAAUUUGUACAUGCAGACACCUUGUAUGCAGGUGUAUUCUUGGGUCCCAGCACAGCUUUUAGGGGUAAUGUGUUUUUGUUUUUGGACAAAAUUCCUAAGAACGUGUGGCAUUGAAAGUCAAAGGCUUUGCCUAUAGUUGAAAGCUAGAGUUAGGAGGUGAAUCCGUUCCUCUAGGGCAUGGUAUGCAGAUGAAGGCGAAGGAGUAUUGGAAGCUGAGAAUGAGGCUUGUGGAUUCCAAAUGCACAGUGACAGCCACAGGAAAGGGAAGCUGUGUGGAAGGUGGCAAAGGAGUGAGCCCUUUCCCUGUACACACGUGACUAGGCAGCAUGGUCUGGCCCAACAGCCAGUUUUAAUUUGUUUGGCUCAUUUGUUUAGAGGGAAGAAUUAAACGUUUUCAUUGAGAUGGAAGAGCCAGAAGAUGGAUGACAGGCACAGGAGUGAGGCCAUGUGCUCCAAGAAAGAACUUUAAGGAACAAUGAUGGGAUAAAGGUAUCCAGGAGGCAGGGGAGGGAGACGCUCUCGAGCCUGCCAGUGGAGGCUGUGAUUUAAAGGAAGGGUGCCUUCUGUAAAGUCAAGGACAAGUGAAGGACUGAAGCCCAUCUGCACCCGAGACAGGACUGGUGGUGGAAGGGGAUGUAGGACUAGACACUGGGAGUCUAUUGGAUGACUUCUGUUCUCAAGGAAGAGAGAAAGACCAGUAAUUUUUUUUUUCAAGAGAAGAUUGAGGGUUGGUAAUAUUCUAAGGAGUGGAAUGUGUUCAAGUGUAGAGUUUGUUAAUUGGAUAGAACAGUUAAAACUUUCAACUCUGAAACGUGCUUCUUGACUCAGCAUGUGUUUGUUGAUGGUGUAGUUCUAAAUUAACCAAGUAACUAACAAGGAUGGUGUAAAGCGUCUGCAGUGUUGAAUGCAUUGUGGUGAUGGUCCUUGCUCUGGAGGUCUUGCUGGUGCUAAAGCUAUUUGAAAAUCAUGGUUAUGCAUCUUCAUUCACAGAAAGAGUUUGAUGUGACUGUUGGGCAUGUAGACUUCAGGUAAAGGAGUAUAUUGUCUCCAUAUUCAUUACUGUAAUAGCACUUUUAUUAUAGAAUAGAUUUAGGUUUGCAGAAACUCUGCCAAUGCUAGAGAGAUCUUCAGAAUCCCAAAACCAGCUUUCCCUCUAUUAAAAACAGUAUAUUAGCAUGAUAUAUUUGUCACAAUUCAAUAAGGUAGUAGUCAGGUUUUUAUUACCAUAACAAAUUUCUAAAGUAUAUUAGUAUUUGAAGAAAGGCUUAUUUUAGUCUGUAGUCCCUUGGCUGUUGAAUCUGGACUAUGAUGACACGGUACAUCAUGGUGGGAGCUUAUAGUGCAGCAGGAUGCUCACUUCAUGGCAUAUGGGAAGCAUAGAGAGACAGAGAGGUUGAGCGCUCACAUUCUCCAAGAACACAGAUUAACAACAGGGCUUCCUUUGCUACUUUUCAGGAGUGGCCACAGGCUGCAUACCUGCUCUUCACAGACAAGAUAUUUUUGUUUUCUUUUUCUUUUUCUUUUCUUUAUUUUAAAUUUAAGACACUGUCUUGCUGUAGUUCCCAAGCAAGUGUCUGCCUGUUUGGCUCAGUUGAAUCUUCUGCUUAAGCAUUCAUUGGCUAUGAUGACGGGAGUGUGCUACUGUGCCCAUCCUGAACUCCUUUUUCUGCAUUACUACCUGCAUUCACUUUUGUUUCAUUAUUCCCAAGCCUUCUUGUUUUAGCUUCUUGGAUUGCUGGCAGUGUAAGGAACAGGCGACUUCCAAAUGCAGAGCUAAAUCAGUGGCAUGGGUUGUCUAUCUCUCUGUUUCCUUGGGAUUAUCUUCUGAAGCACUGUUUCUUUCAGAAAUUACCAACGGAGGGCAAAAAGUGCAGAAAUAAAAAAAUCAACUGGCAUUAUACUAAGCUUAUGUGACCUUGGUGUCAGUUAUAUCUGGCUUUAAUUUAAAAGGUAUUAUAAAUACAAUUUGCUAGAUAUUAAUGUUUUGAAAGUAGAAAUACAUUAUGGAUGUAUUUUUGAUGACAAAUUUUUCAUCCUGGCCAGUGAUGAUGCUACUCACUACCCUCUACCUCUAGAUGGCACUGGUCUCAUGCUGGCCUACAAUGUGUAAGCUACAGGAUUUGGAAUGAAAAUAUCUAUGUGGCUGGCAUUAUGUGUAUGUUCUGUUGUUGUCCACUCUCUACUUAUUUCUCUCUUAGCAGAACACAGAACCUGGGAGCUCCAGUCAUGUUAAAUGAACGAUAUUCUGGAUGAGUAUUGGGAGAUUUCUAAGGUGGAUGGUGUUUGCAUCCUGUAAUCUGCAUCAGACUCAUUUUGGGCAAGCCAUAAUGGACUGUCUGCUCUCUUUAAGCCCUUUUUCACUUGUUGGUGGACAGUUGUUCAGAACAGUUCCUCUGUGUAGAACUCAGUUCUCUGACAACUGAUUCCUUGGCCUAGGUUAUUGUAAAAUGUGAGAAGGAGGGUAAAAAAGAAUCUGCUUAUCAUAGAGAAAUAUUUAGCUACUGUUUUAUGUUUCAUGGACCUGUUGGGAUUUUACUCCCAAAUACCUCAGUUAUUAUUGUCUGUCAUACAGUCUCUCCUGGUUUUCUCAGAUUGCCUAAGUCCUCUCAUAUUACUGAGAAAGUAACUAUUUGUCUUGCUUGAUUUGCCUGUGAAUCUUUUACUCUGUGGCUCUUUUCUAUUAGGUACUUUCUAAAGCAGUCAUGUGAUUAACUUAGACUUUAGAUUAAUUUAGGAUGAUCUGGAGAAAUAUGCCAUGAUAUAGACAAAAGAUGCUGCUAACUAGAAUUGCAUUUGUAGACUGUUAUACAGUUUUUGAAGUCAUUCUUGCCUCUUCUCCUUUCACUUCCCCACACCCUGUCCCCUUAUUAAGUACUGACUGACAAAACCCAAGUUCAUGGUUCUGCUCUCUGUUCUUUCAUGCAUUCAACUUCUGCACUUACCUGCUUUGCUUGGCUUCAGGUCACAGUCAGAGUUCCCAGUCACAAUAUGCAUGAUGCUCUGUUCCUUCCUCAUGCCACUUUCCCUCACAUUUGAUACUAUGCAGACCAAGAAUACUUCAUGCUUUGCCUGUAGUUCUGAUCCUUCUAGCUCUAUUACCUCAAACAGGGAUUGCCUUAGAAGCUUCCAUGUAGCCAAAUUGCUGAUAUAAUAGUGACUGCCAGUUUUACCAAAGGCUUGUAAUUUUUAAAUGCAGUUGAAAUAUUUUUAAUUAUUUUUUUUAAUUAACUAAUUUAUUUUUUUUGCACUCCAUGUGUUACAAUGCAGAACUUUCGUACAGUUUAGAGAUGUUGCUCUUGAUUCACAUUUUGUUUUCCAACCAUAGUCGUGCUUCUGCUUCUGUCACAGUUUCUAGUCAAGCUCUUCCCUGGCUAUUGUGUCUUCUCAUUCCAAAAUCAUUGUUUGUUUGAAAGAGACUCUCCCUAUGUAGCCCAGGCUACCUCAGUCUUAUAAUCCACCAGUUCCAGUCUCCUGAUUGCUAGUUUAACACAAUGCCUGCCGUUGUGUAGGCUAUUUGUGAAGAGCUCACCAGAGCCUGUUUUCUCUGAGAGCCUGAGAAGACCGUCUUCUUUUUCCAUCUUCUCCUACCCCACGAUUCUGGCAGAAAAGUACGUUGUUUUUUGUUAUCAUCUUUGGGUUGAUGCGCAUUAGGUGUGUUGUGUAGAUAUGCUUGCAGAGUGCCCAAGAAGGGCUCUGACUUGUGAGUGUGUAUCCACCUACACACCUUUUUUAGGGCUUGACUGACUAUUUUCUUGGACACAUCAUCUUUCAGAGUUUCAUACACUGUACAGAAUGUCACAGACCUGUCAAUUCCGUUUGAAUGAAUCUUCUGAACAGUUGACAUAUUUCAGAAGUGUUUCUAAUUCCUUUCGAUCUCUGUGUGUGAUUUAUUCAACUCUCAAAUGUUUAUUUUCUCAUUUUCUUCUAUUUUCCUUUCUGUCACUUUUCUUUCUUAGUUUAGGAUGAAAGGGCUGAGAUCACUGGAGUCAAACACAGAGGCCAUAAAAGGGUUCCAGGAUGUUCCAGUGCGAUCCCGGAGGCUCUAGGUUGCUUGCACAAAGAUGCUGUAGGGCACUGGCCUCUCAUGUUGUACAUUGCUUAAGAAGUUCACAUGGUUUCCAACAUAGGACAUUUUCCUGUGAGUAGUGCUAGUGUAGAGUACGACUGUGUUCCGUUUGUGUGGGAAGCACUACUUGAAUGGUCCCCAAACUGUCCACAUUGGUGCAAGUUCACAAAUGUUAGUCUACUCAAAAGGAAAGCUUAACUGGUUGUUGUUAAAUUAUGUCUGUGCUUACAUGUGUGUAUACAUGCUUGCAGAGACUUAGGUCAGCCUAUUUGGUGUUCUCCAGGAGCUGGUCACCCUAUUUUAAGUCAGCAUCCAUUACUGCACUGGAAUUCAUCAGGCUGCCUAGCUAGAGAGUCCCAGGAAUCUGCUUGUCUCCCCUUUCCUAGCACUGGUAUUAUAAGUGUACAUCAUUAUAUAUGGAUUUUUAAAUGUUGUUUUGGGGCCUCAUAUUUGCAGUGUUCUCACUUUACUGGCCAGGCUAUCUCUUGCUGGUCUGUGUACCAGAUACUGUCUGCAGAGAUCUGCUGGACUCUGACCUGGCUGGAGCAGUGGAAGCGUUGCACUCUGAAGGGGAGGGAGAGUUGAUCUUCCAAGGCCUCAAGUCUAAAUUGGAGGUCACAGAGCAGCAACCUUGAACUGCUUCCAGCUACUAAAGCUUCUGGAGAGAAGUUCUCAACGUGUUACAGCUCUACAUGGCAGACUUUCUCAGGUCUUGAUGAGAUAACUCAUGCUUUAUUCAUUGUGGCCAGGGUCUUAUGUACAUUUUGGGGUGGGUUGUGGGUCUACGAGCCUAUGCUUUCUAUUAGCUAUGUCUGAGAUGUUAGGGAUGUUUCAUCUGCAUGUAGAGUUGCUUCGGGCACUGCCCCUAUGUGACUGAUUGUCACGAUCCUCUCCAUGGGGUGUUCUAGGGCAGGAACCUGGUUGGGAGUAGAUGAAACACCUGCCUACAGUCCUCAGCUAUGAGGACAGCAGGAUUUCUGAAUCCAUUCAGCCUUACCAAGAUUUUGUGUGGUAUCACAGUUUCACUUGCCCCAUAAUUUCCCACCUCCAAUUAAUAAUAUUAAUAAUAAUAAUAAUAAUUUAGUGAUCUUUAUUCAAAAAUGUCUUUUAUUUGGAGUAAAUACCAUCAUUUUAUGCACAGUUUCUCAAGUAAUGUGAGUAUAUGAGGCGUGGAAGCUUAGUUAUGUUCAUGCUUUAUAUUACGUUCUUUAUUCUGUCUGUCUGGUCCUUUCUAUAUUGAAGCCAGAGUGAGGGAGCUGGGUCCCAAAUUGGAUCACAAUUGUAGAGUUGGUUUGGAUUCAGCCUCUAUCUCUUGCUGUGCCAUGGUGCACCUCACUUAACUUCUGAACUCCCUGAUUUCUUACUGAAGAAUCUGGGGUUAACAAGCGUUAUAAGCAUUAAAUGAAAGCAUGUAAUAGGUAAGGCAAUGACUUUGCAAGGUAGAAAAUACCUGUUACCAUGAGCUUAUGAUUCUAUGAGCUGCAGCAGUGUCAAAAGGUCUGUCACAGAAACUCAGAGAAAUAGGCAGCAUGGGUAGACUAUAGCACUCACAGUAAGGCUUGUGGUGCUUAAGGAGCACGUGGUCUCUGGAUAUUUCAGUGAGCAAAGAGAAAAGGAAUUGUGCAUUGAAACCAUAGCCCAGACCCACACAACCACCUGUAAUUCUACUUUCCUCUAAUCCCUUUCCCUUUGCAUAGUGAGAACUUUGCAUGUUUGUAUAUUAUUCUUUUGACUUCCUCUUCCUCCUUCUCUUCCUCCUCCUCCUCUUCUUUUUUUCCCUUGAAAUGUAUGCUUAACAUCUAGGGCUCUUUGAAAAAAAAUCAUUUUUGCUUUCUAAAAUUUAGAUUUAAUUGGCUUUUGUUGUCCACUUUCCUUAUUAAACCGUAUCUGAAUUAGUUUCUUGCAUCUCUUCUAUUCUCAUUUGAACUAUUCCCCUGGCUUCUGCAGUCGGGAUAGAAUUUGUAUUUAGGGUCAUUUGGGUUUGUAUCGGGCUGCGUAAUAAAAAUGUCAGAAAUAAGUGAAGGCCUAGUGUGAAAAGAGGUGGCACUGCCUGUUUUGUGUGGUUGAUGGAAAGCUAAGUGUCCAUCAACAUUGUGGAUCUGUCUCUCCAUCACAAGAUUAAGGGAGAAAGUAUCCCUUAAACAUCUCGGGGAUUGGGGUGAGAUCAUUCUUUUGGUCUGGGUUUGAUUCUAGUUGUGUAAAUGACCUUACCCUCUCUACAUCAGCACCUCCUGGGUUCUUUUCCUUCUUUGAGCUGGGCAUAGAUGAUCCUUACAAUCUCUUCCUGCCCCCGUGUUAUGUUCCAUUAGAAAUAAUAGCUGGCUAUGCAUAGAUACUCUUUGUUUUUUCUUGUGCCAUAUUGUACAGAUGACCUCACCUGCCAUUUUAAAAUUCUUCUAUUAAUGAUUUAAGAAUUUCAAAAGGGAACCCUAUUUUCCCUGUAUAAAUAGUAUUUACAUUUUCUUUAUACACACUGAUAUUAAUAUGUAGUUAUUAAAUAAAAUGUUCAGCUCUGUACUUCACUGAAUUCCCUUGAAUAAUGGAAGUAGGCUUGCUUUAACUUUGCUGCUCCUUCCUUGCUUUCUGAGUGAUUUUCUGCAUGUUUGAUGUAUUUGCACAAACAUUCCAGUGCUUCUGAUUUGUUGAAAAUGGUUUACUGCAUUCCAUAAUUGAAUUGAUUAGGCCACAACUUGCCUUUCAGCGUUAUCUGCUACCUCUGUAACUUGAAGAAGACACACACUUUUAGUUGGAGGUUUUAUCUGUGUACAGAGGUGGCAUGGGGGUAGAGUUAAUGGUGACAGGCUGUGUGUGGUUCAGAGGAGGGUCAUGUGCUUUAAAAGUGAGAGUACACUUUAUUACUAAUGUUCGAUAUACAUUAGUCUUAUCAGGCAAGUACUUUGAGUUUGGAGAAAGGCACACCAGGGGACCAUGCACAUUGCAUUUAGUUUUCUUAUGUAGUAGCUAAGAGCUGCUCCAGGCUCCUUUGUCAUGGCUUCCAUGGUGAUCCUUUAGGAAAGGACAGAAUGAACUAUUCUUCUUACAGCAUUGUGUGAAGCUUUCAGCUAAGUUUUAGCUUUAGCUAUUAUUAUUUGAGAUGCCAUCCUUAGCUGUGGUUCAGGAAAACAAACAAACAAACAAACAAGCACAGAAAGAGCUACAUUUGAUUAAAAUUGAAGGUGUUUACUUCUUACAUGUUCAAAUGUUUCUUUUCAGGUCUAAUGCAGAUUUAAGAGAAUUUUCCAUUUUUCUUUGCUAACAAUGUAAUGGCAUUUGUGCCAAAGAGAGAUCAUAAACUUAAGAACAUAGAGAAGCAUAAGGUGAUUAACACAUUAUAAAGUAUAUGUAGGCUGUGUGCUCUGUUGACAGCUUACAGAGUGGGAGAAGAUCUUUGCCAGACAAGGUGUUAAUAUCUAGAAUGUAUAAAGAAAAAAAUUAAAUAUCAAAAGAACAGAACUAUCAGUCAAAAUGGUGAAUAAAAUGAAUAGACAGUUCUCCAGAGAAAAAACAUAAAUGGCUAAUAAAUAUUUGUUUUAAGUGUUCAGUAUCCUUAGCUGUCAACAAAUCCAAGUUAUAACCCUGAAAAUACAUCUUACUUCAGUCAGCAUGGCCUCCACCAGGAAACAAAAGAGUAAGAAAUGCUAGCUAGUAUGGGGAAAAGAAAACCAACCCUCUGAAUUGUGGUGGGACUGGGAGUUAUUGUAGCCAUGGUGGGGAUCAGUGUGGAUAGUUAUCAAAAACCUAAAAGAAAAGCUAUUAUAUGAGCCAGCUCCACCACCUCUGCUCAAACACCUAAGUGCUAUGUGCAUUCUACCUCAGAGAUGUUUGCCCUCGUAGGUUCACGCUGUUCUACUCAUAAUAGCAAGACAAUAGGACAGCCUAGCUGUGUGUCCAUCAGCAUGAGUGGAUCAUGUAAAUACGCUACAUAUGCACAAUGGGAUUUUGUUUAAGUGUAAA